CAUGAGGGGCAGCUAUGGGCCAGACCUUGUCAGCUUCAAGAACGAAGGCCUUGAAAAGCCUGGCGGGAGCGACAGGGGAGGUAGAGUCAUAGUUAUAAGUGACAACACCCAUGAUUCUAAUACUACUUGGGACUUUGAGUUGAAAGAAAAGAAUAAAUGGAUGAUUGAGUGAGAGUUUGAGGCGUGAGAUGAUUGAGAACCAAGAUGCUAUUUAUAGACUGAUAUAUUAUUCUCAUCUUUUAAUUGGAUUUAUAUCCAACAUUGUUAUUAAUAUUCAUUGAAUUGGUACUAGUCAAAUUAGGCAGCCAGAACUUAUUAAAUCGCAAAUUGGUGACUAAAUAUUUUAUCAGUUUGUCUCCUAUUUAUUUGCUUUAUAUCUCUUCAAAAUGUAUUUUUUAAAAAGAAAUAUAUAAUGAUAACAUAUAUUAGAUAUUCAUUUAAUUAUAAAUAUAUUUAAAAAUAUUUUAUUAGUAAUUAUAUAUUUUAUAAUUAAAAUUUAAUAAAAUAAAUUUUAAUCCAUAAAUAGUAAUUCUGGUGGAAUCGAAUUAACCUGAAAUCAGAUUUGCACUAUUGUUCAUUUUGCUGAUGAAUUAAUCCUUUGCCAGAAUGACUAGAAAACUUGUAGAAAAGAAAUAAAUGAAUUUUUCCAUUUCAACCCCUUUUGGUAAUUAACAUGUAAAAUUCGGACACUUAGACUUAGGGACUUAAAGUAGGGGUGAGCAAAACUCGAUUCGAUUCGAAAAAAUCAAAAAGAAAAUCGUAUUUCGAGUUAAUCGAAUAGAGUUAUUCGAGUCAACUUGAGUAAGUAAUUCGAGUUUGAAUCAAGUUAAAUUUUACAAUUCGAAUAACUCGAAUAACAUAAUGGUGUAAAUACCCCUUUGGUCCCUGUCAAUUUUGAAAAUGAGCAAAUUGGUCUCUCUCUCAACAAAAAUUACAAAAAAAUUUCAAAAUAUUUUUAAAAGUUCCAGAAUUUAUAUUUUUUUUACAAAAUCUAGAGAAUAUAUAAAGAAAGUUAAAAAUUUAAAUAUUUUCUAAAAUAAUAAUAAUGAGACUUAAAUAAGUUAAUUAAUGAUUGAAGUUUAUCAUACUAAAGUAUCUGGUUUCAAAUUUAUGUGCUCCAACAUGGAAUUAAUUGUACCGUAAUAAUAUUUUAAUUUGACAUGCUUAAUUUUUUAAUAUAAUAUGACCAAUUUCACUCAAUUUGAUUAGACUCGAAUCUCAUUUUACUCGAUCAUAUUCGAAAAAAAUUCAAAUCGAGUUAGGAUGAUAAAAUAGGACUCGCCAUCUCGAUUAAAUGGAAAAUUUUUCACUCGACUCGAUUCAAUCGAAUGCUCACCCCUAACUUAAAGCAUAACUUUUGAUACUUUUUCUAAUGUGAUAUUUGUGUUUUUUUUGUCCAAUGGUACUUAUUUUUUUUACAAAAAGUAUAUAUUUUGCUACCUAAAGGUAACAGUGCUAACUUUUUAGUUUUUAAUUCGAGCUUUAGAGUUGAUGAAAAUUUAUAAUUAGCUAAUAAUAUUAGCAAUUAAUUAACUUUCAUCAAAAUAACCCUAAAACCCAGAUUAAAUCACAUCAAUAUAUAUUAAAAAAUAGGAAACUAGAAAGAAAUUGUUAAAAUUAAAGUGAUAUUUGCUAAACUAAAAAUUAAGUGUUGAAUUUGAAUUAUAAAAAUUAUGGUUAACCGGUUUGAUUGUUAAAAAUGCCGGCAUUGUUGACGAGAACCACCAGAAACUGACACAUGGCAUGCCAUGCCAUGAGAUUAAGCAUGUUUAACAUAUAUUUAAAAGAAAAUCCUGAAACAUAAGUGUGGAAAAAGAAGUUGAACUGCAUUUGCAUGUGAAGAUUCAAAUUUCAAAAUAUAAACUUAUAUGUAUGGCAGCACCCUCUGAACAGCCUUAGGAAGACUUGGACUUAUCCAGAAAAGGUUUUUAAUUGAAUAUAAUAUAAUAUAAUAUCAAGUUUGUUGAAAUAUAUACUUUUCUUUAACUUCAAAGUUUGUCUCUUAUGAUACCUCGAGUCUCAUUCUAGAAAAGGAAUAAUAGUAAAUAGACAGUCUAUUAUAUAUUGAAUUGUUUUUGACGGUAGUGAAUUUGAAAUAUUAUUUCUCAAUAUUAUUUUAAAUGAAUUAAAUUAUUAAUAUUAAAUAUGCAUAGAAUCAUAGGACUAGUCGGUGCUUCAUGUUGAGCAUUUUGGAUCAGUUGAUUUUUUUGACCUCAACUUCUUUCAUCUAUUCCUAUAACAGACUAUAAUAUUUAUAUAAGCAUUUUCCUCUCUCUCUCCAUAUAUAUGAAGUCAUCAAUUGGCCAAUUACUUGGACAUAUCUGGGAUGCUUUUUUUGACUAGUAAAAAUUAAUAACAUUAUUGGAUAUAAAUCCAAUUAAAAAUUGAAAGUAAUCAAGUUCUUAAGUUUCAAUUUCAGUCUAUAAAUACUAUCAUAGUUUACAAGGCCAUUGAAGCUUUCCUCUUGGCAAAUCCCGAUGCUUGCAACUAAAAUAUUAAUUUGUCUUUCCAUUGUUAUAUUAAUAGGAGUGGUGGUCGUCAGGAUUUGAUCAUCUUUAUGUUUAUUAUACUCAGAGUUUGAGUUGUAUUAUUUAUAUAUAUAAUGAAAUAAAAUUAACAUAUAAACUUGCAAAAAUAACUGGGUUUUAAACGGUAUAUAUUUUGCAAACAUUCUACAAAUUUUCUUUCAUACAUCCAUUGUGUUAACGAAAUCUCGAGGUUAACAUUUUUUUUUGUGGUAAUUGAAUUGGUAUUUAAAAUUGAAUAGAAAGAAUAAAAAUUGCAACACUGCAAUCAUGAUGUAGCCAUAUGAUUUCAGCUUUUACUUAUAGCUACAAUCUACAAAGAGAAUUACUUACGAUUCUAUGUAUAGUAUUUACAUUACAAAUCGAAGUCACACAAUUGCAACUGUCAAUUGAAAAUCUUUUUAUGGGGGUUUCACUCUAGUUUUAUGCUUCCUUUCAUUUCUCUCCCAUUAAAUAUAGUCGUACAUGACUAAUAAUUGGGAGCUAAUUAUCAACAAACUAAAUCAGGAAUUUACUAUUUUGAAAGUUGGUGGUUCUUUAUAUGUAUUUUUUAAAUAAACUAAGAUAAAAGAAACUAGUAAAACAUAAGAACCGAAGAUGAGAAAUAAAGAUAAAAAAUUGUCUUUGAUUCUAGCUAGCUAAUAAUUUGGACAACUGUAUGCCCAUCUUUGGUAAAGUGCAUAUAUUCCAUUUCCCUCCCUCCUUGUCAAUUUCAGCAUCAUCCCAGUCAUGUAUGUUGCCGAAAUGAAUACCAUCCGGAGGGAGCAGGGGCAAAUAUUUCAUUUCCCUCCCUUCUAGUAUCUCCCAGCCACUUCUUUUAGAUUAUUUCUUUGAAGUCCAAAAAAUUCCAGGGCUCCGGAAUGUCCCCUCGGAAGAUUUGGGCAAUUUCGUCCUUUACAUCAUAGGGGAAGCUUUCAUUCCAAGGCUUGGAACCUUUCCCCUGUUCAAAACUAUUGUCCAAGUCUGAUUCCUUGUAACCCUGCACCUCUUCAUCCAUAAGAAGGUACUUGAAUACUUUCCGGAGCGUGGCAGUUUCAGGGACUACCAUCCGGUUAGGUUUCUAAGGAUUACCGUCCUAUCAGCAAAGCCCAAGCAGAGAUUGUCAUCUGCCCCACUAUGACAUAACAUGCAUCGUUCCAUCAUUGAUAUCUAUUCCCAAGACAAAAUUGUCAGCCCGCACAAUUAAUGUCCUAUACAUCCCUACUAUCUCUUCUAAAAGCGUCCCUAUACACUUAAAAGGAAAAUAACUCUUCAAUUCUUACAAACCAUCUAUUAAAAAUGGCAGGUAUGCAUUCAAACCAUCCAUUGCAAAAUGCGAGUCUGCACACAAACUAUCCACAAAAAUUGGGUGGUUAUCAAUUAACUAGAUUUUGAAAACAAGAGGUCUGCAUAAGGAAGAAGAACAAAAGACACGACAAAAGCUGAAGACUACCACAUGUUAAUCAGUGGAACAUUAUUUUUAAUUAGCAACAAUUUGGAAAGGAAAAGAGAAUGCAUAGGCAUAAACCACAACUCUAGCAGCAUUAUAUUUUUAUUUAUUUUCAUGGAAUUCUCCUCCCUACCCCUAAUCGGAGUACCCACACGAGGUACACCAGACGACCUAGUUCCCCCACUUGUUGAAUCUAUUCCCUUACCAUCCUCCAUUAAAUCAUCUAGGUAAGAUCAUCACCUCAUAGUUGUUGGAAAAAAAUCUGGUUUAAAAACGGUUUUCUGUCACAGUAGAAAAUUAAAAAUUUAAAAACGGAGUUGGUUUGUGAUAUUUAUUCCAAUAAACUUUUACUUGUGCGAGAUAGAUCUUUUACAUUCCACCAUGGACUUAUAUUUGACUUAAGUUGAAAUUUUUUAAUUCGGCUCUUGUCAUUUUUUUUGUCCAAUGUGGUACCUGUAUUUGACGAAAAAUAUAUUUUUUGGCAUAUGAGGAUAACAAUGUUAAGUUUUGAGUGCUUAAUUCAAGUUUUACAGUUGAUUUGAUGAAAUUUUGAUCAAAUUAACCUUAAAACCAAAAAUAAAUCACAUCGAUAUAUUCAAAAUAGAAAACUUGAAAGAAAUUUGCUAAAAAUUGCAACCAAUCCCCCCGCGCAUGGUCAGCCACCUUGAGAAGAGGAGUGAGUAGAAUGGCUUUGCUAAAAAUAGCAAAAACAAAUAAUGUUUCAAGGAAGGAGUUGAGUGGUCAGUUGGCAAACUUGUUGGGGCUAUUUUGUAAUUUUUAUAAAGUCUAGGUACCCUUAAUAUAAUUAUUCCAUGGAUGGUUGGGCUUUUGGUUAACCGAAUUUGGGGUCUCCUUGAAUAGGACAAUUUAGCUUCAACAUUGAGCAGUAGGCUUGACUGCUUCACUGAUUUGAUUUUUGAGCUGGGUCAAGUCUGUCUAUUAUCCAUAAUUCUAAUUAAUUUUAAAUGUCUAUAGCUAAUUAAUUAUCAGCCCUCCUCCGUAUGACUUUUUCUACAAAACACUACUUGAUAAUACAGUAAAAUGACAUACUUUUAUGUGUUAAUUACAUGUACGUUUUGAGUACGAUAUUGCUAAUUUUGGUUGUUUAUGGUUUUUUAUCUUGUAGGGACUAAAUUGAAGAAAAAAGAAAUUUGGGGGCAAAAAGUGUGAAUUUAAAGACAAAAUGGGUCAGCAUGCGAAGUACGGAAGAAGUGGUGCCAAAAUACAAAAUGUGGAUGACUUGGGGCAAAAUUUUAAAGAAGAGGUUUAUGGACAUAAAACUUUGUUUAAAUUUGAAUUUUAUUUUUAGGAUUAUUGUUAGAAUUAUUAUAUUUUUUAGAUUUAAUUUCAAAUUAUAUCUUUUAAAUAUCAUUAUCUAGUGUUUAAAUAGGAAUUACUUAGGGUUUUUCAUGUACUAUAAAUAGGGGAUGGAGUGGCAUGAUACUGACAUAUCACUUCUAUAAAAAACUCCUUCCCCCUAAAGCUUUUAGCCUUUUUGUUUCUUUUCUUUUCCAAUAAAAUUUCAUUCCAUUAAACUUGUGUGUUUUUUCUCGAAAAGCAUGAGCCACUAAACUCAUCUAGUCAAAGGUUAUGAAGACUUCUCCAAAAGAGUUCAUGAGGCUUAAAACCCACACUUAGCCCUUCUUAAUGAGUAUUCAUCAUUUCCCCGCAUUACGGGACUGACGCUUUCGUCCAUUUCCUUCCAAAAGUAGUCUUUUCAUCUUGUGCAAAGACGACCGCUUUGUAUGUUUUGGGUAGGUUGCACAGCCGGUUCGCUAACUUACUGCAUCAAAGAUUGUCGAGCCCAAGAGAUGAAAUGGUUUGGCAUUCGCCAUUGAAAACCGAUGAUCUAGUGUAAGAUGGUCCCACAAAAGUGACAGUUGGCUAGAGUCAAGUUCCUCUAAAGCGUAAGGCUAAAACCUUAGUGGAGCUGGUGGUCGAAGGCGUCCUCUUCCACUAUAGCUGCCUUAUUCAGUCAUAAGGAGGAUCAUCUAAAAGCCUAUGAUUGAACCAAAGGAGAAUCGAGAUAAUCGGAGGCUGGAAUCCUUCAAUUGGAAAAUAUUUUUUUCUCAAUUCUGGUUCUUAUCACAAUUAUGAAUUCGAUCUAUUUAAUUUUGACUCAUCCAUAUUUUUAAUUCUAUUUUAUUUUAACCUUUUCCCAAGUCAGCUAUUUUUCUUGGGCACGACUAUGAGCUGUGGCGAUCCAGUCCCUGAGGAUUUGAGCCUACUCCCCUAUACUAUUUAUUUUCGUUAUUUAAGGAUAGGAUAUUUUUGGUGCUUUCAACGACACAUCAAAUUUUGGCGUCGCUGCCGGGGACUGACAACGUGCUAAUCUUGUUUUUUAUAACCAUAUCUGCUCAAGCAAAUCUUGCCUUCGAUUAAGAAAAUUAAAAGGCUGCGAUAGCUAAUCACAAGGAAUUGAAGCUACGAAAAAAGAAAUCAGAGGUGGUAGGAACUAAGAGUAACCCACCACCAAAAAUAAAAGCAGACGACGGAGUUGAGUCUGGGGUUAACGAAAACCCUACUCAAACACUGGAGAACAAAAAGAAUAGGAGUCAACCCACAAGAAGAAGUGUCUAACGCUAAGGUUAAUGUAAACCCGAAUCUGACACAACAACCUAUGGCUCAAACUUUUCGGCAAAUGGCUGAGGCUCCUAUAGAUCAACAACUUUUAUCCAUUGCGUAUCCUACUAUGGAUACUAAUUUUGAACUUAAGUCAGGAUUAAUCCAAUUGCUGCUGACUUUUCGUGGAUUGCAAAAUGAAAAUCCACAAAAAUAUCUGAAAAAGUUUCAUAUGAUUUGUCUUAGUAUGAAACCUGAGGGCGUAACUGAAGAUCAAAUCAAAUUACGUGCUUUCCCUUUUUCCCUACCAGACUUUGCUAGGGAAUGGUUAUUUUAUCUACCUCCUAGAUCUAUGACAACUUAGGUUGAUCUUUCCCAUUUUUUUCUCAAUAGAUUUUUCCCAGCCUCACGCGCAACUAAGUUAAGAAUGAAGAUUGUUGGGAUAAGGCAAAAGGAUAUGGAGACUCUUUACGACUAUUGGGAGCGAUUUAAGAAGUUGUGUGCAAGUUUCCCACAAUAUGGAGACUCCUUCCAUUGUUAUAUUAAUAAGAGUGGUCAUUAGGAUUUGAUCAUCUUUAUGUUUAUUAUACCCAAAGAGUUUGAGUUGUAUUACUUUUAUAUAUAUAAUGAAAUAAAAUUAACAUAUAACCUUGCAAAAAUAACUGGGUUUUAGCUGGUAUAUAUUUUGCAAACACUCUACAAAAUUUCUUUCAUACAUCCAUUGUGUUAACGAAAUCUUGAGGUUAACAUUUUUUUUGGUAAUUGAAUUAUUAUUUAAAAUCGAAUAGAAAAAAUAAAAAAAUUGUAACAUUGCAAUCAUGAUGUAGCCAUAUGUUUUCAGCUUUUACUUAUAGCUACAAUCUACAAAGAGAAUUACUUACCACACUAUGUAUAAUAUUUACAUUACAAAUCGAAGUCACACAAUUGCAACUGUGAAUUGAAAAUCAUUUUAUGGGGUUUUCCCUCAAGUUUUAUGCUUCCUUUCAUUUCUCUCCCAUUAAAUAUGGUCGUACAUAACUAAUAAUAGGAAGCUAGAGAAGGGAUUGUAUGAAACUGUGAUUUCAUGUCAUCCCUAUCCCUUUCCAAUAUGAGAAUAACAAAUCAGAUUUUUUCCUCAUGAAAAAAUUCAAAUUCAACUAAAAAUGCUAAAAAUUAGGAAGAAAAAUCUUAUUUGUCAUUCUUCUCUUGGAAAUUGAUAAGGAUGACGUGGUAUAACAGUUUCAUACAAUCUUUUCUCUAAGAAGCUAAUUAUCAACAAGCUGAAUUAAGAAUUUGCUAUUUUGAAAGUUGGUGGUUCUUUAUAUUUAUUUUUUUAAAUACAUUAAGAUAAAAGAAACCAGAAAAAUAUAAUAACCCAAGAUAAGAAAAAAAGAUAAAUAUUUGAUAAAAAAUCUUGCAAUAAAAAUAAUUGGGAUUUGAUUCUAGCUAAUAAUUUGGACAACUGUAUGCCCAUCUUUGGUAUCCAAAGUGCAUAUAUUCCAUUUCCCUCACUCCUUGUCAAUUUCAACAUCACCCUAGUCAUGUAUGUUGCCGACAUGAGUAUGAACCGAAGGAAGCAGAGGCAAAUAUUUCAUUUCCCUCCCUUUUUAGAAUCUCUCAUCCACUCAUUUGUAUUAUUUCUUUGAAUUCCAUAAAAUUCCAGGGUUCCAGAAUGUUCCCUCGGAGGAUUUGGGAAUUCAUUCUCUAUAUCAUAAGGGAAGCUUUCAUUCCAAGGCUUGGAACCUUCCCCCUAUUCAAAACCAUUCUCCGAGUCUGACUCCUUGUAACCCUACACCCUUCAUCCCUAGAAAGGCACUUGAAUACUUUUCGGAGCGUGGCAGUUUCAGGAACUACAAUCUGGUUAUGUUUUUUAAGGAUUACCAUCCUGUUGAAAAGCCCAAGUAGAGAUUGACGCCUGCCUCACUAUGACAUAACAUUCAUCGUUCCAUCAGUGAUAUCUAUUCCCAAGAGAAAAUAGCUAGCCCGCACAAUUAAUGUCCCAUACAUCCCUUCUAUCUCUUCUAGAAACGUCGCCUAUACAUUUAAAAAGAAAACACCACUUUAAUUCUUACAAACCAUCUAUUAAAAAUGGCAGGUAUGCAUUCAAACCAUCUGUUGCAAAGGCAAGUCUGCACACAGGCUAUCUACAAAAAUUGGGAGGUUAUCAAUUAACUAGUUUUUGAAAACAAGAGGUUUGCAUAAGGAGGAAGAAAAAAAGACACGACAAAAGCUGAAGACUACCACCUGUUAAUCAGUGGAACAUUAUUUUCAAUUAGCAACAAUUUGGAAACAAAAAGAGAAUGCAUAAGAAUAAAGCACAACCCUGGCAACAUUAUAUUAUUUAUUUUCUUGGAAUUCUCCUCCCUACCCCUAAUCGGAGAACCCUCGCGAGGUACACCAAAUGAUCUAGUCUCCCCACACAUUGGAUAUAUUCUUUAGCACCCCAAACUCGGCCAAGACAGUUCGACCCGGAUUUCAAACGUUACAUUAGCCACCGAAUUGACUCUUUGUCAAAACAUAGCAAAUCACACCUCAGAGAUUUAUUCAUUUAAAUAUGUAAAGUCCUAAUGUCAUGCUUUCGCUUCACUACGCUGAUCAUCAUAUUAUCAAUGUAAUUUGUAAAUUGAAUUAUUAACAAGCAAAUAAUCUAAAAGCUUCAAUUGAACAUUCAUGCAGGUGAUAGCGUAUUUAAAAGGUUAGUUUGUAAAGAUUUUAGAAGUCGUUUUAUUUAAAAAAAUUAUAUUUAAAUCGUAAUAUAUUAAAAUGUUGGAACACACCAUUUCACAAGGUUGAAAAUAGUAUAGUAGAGUAAUAUGUAUAAAUCUUAUUUAGGAAGAUUCAUUAAAACAUCAUGCGUCUCUUCAUAAAAUCAUCAUCAUUUAAUUAGUUCACAACCCACCUACUUUUUACAUAACUUGUCCAAUUUUACAUUUCCUUGCAAACUAAGCUCAUGAUUAAUUUCCAAAUCACACGUAAAACAUAUAAGACUUACCUCGAUAACUAGUGGCUCUUCAACCUACACUUACAAGUUAGUCGAACAAUUACUCAUACUAUUCAUCAAGCAUUCACAAUCUACCAUUCAAUCAUCUAUCUAAAGCAGUGAUAAAAGUUCCAAAUCAAACCAAUUAAAUAGUCCAUAACAUCCAAUUACAACCCAACAAUUACAACUAGCUCUAAUUCUAAAUCCCAUAAUUUGGUCCCACACUGCCUUUCUCAAUUGGAUUUGGGAACACAUCAACAUACCAAGGUAUAGCCUUGUUAUGGAUCACUUGGAUGGCUCACUUCCCCACCUAUUCACAAGCUAAAUCACUGCAAUGAUAUAAAAGAGUGGGUGAACUUAAGAAAGCUCAGUGAGUGCUCAACAUACUACAAAUAAACACAUCAGUUGGGUUAAAGGGUGACAUAUGAUAACGAUACACAUAUUAUUAAAGUCUACACAAAAUAGUAACUCAUACGACACAAUAGUUCUCAUAAAAUAAGUAGUGCACAUAUAAUAAGUAAUUCGCAUAAAAUUCGCAGAUAAAAUAAAUUAUCAAUUCGCAUAAAACAUCUUUUCAUAUGAAAUAACAGUUCAUACCAAAUGACAGUUCAUUCCAAUUAACAGUUCAGAACACAUAAUAGUUACAUUCCACAUAAUAUUUCAUGCAAAAUAACAGUUCAUACUCUAUAAUAACUCAUAUUUCAAAUAAUGAUAAAUUGACAUUUUUGUGAUUAUGAAACAUAUAAGGGACUCUAUCAUCGCCUAUAAGUGGACUUUAUCGCCACAUAUUAGAUAAACGGAUCUCCUUAUAACGCCUCACUUUUGGACUCAGAGCCCUAUGCUUUCUCUGAUAUAAGUGUAGUAUGAAUACUCACACUCUCCAACACUCUCGACUUAUAAAGCCUUGUGCUAUUUCCGUUGAAUGGAACUAUGUUCAACAUUCCCUUAUCUCUCCAAAGCUAUAUCCAAGCACAAUACCUAUCAUAAUAAUGAGGGUGAUUAUUCACAAUCCUAUGACAUGCCAACUAUAUCCAAUGGUUCCAUAAGGUCACAAUGCCAAAAUAUCUCUUUAACAAAUUCAAAAUAUUCAGUAUAAUAGAGCUCGCAAUUAAGAAGAGCUCGCACAUUAUAACACAAUUUACAAUUCAAAAUUCACAAAUAAUAUAACUUUCAUGCAACAUAUAUUGCACACAUAACACAGUUCACAUAUCACUCAUGACAUAGAUCACAUAAAUCAUUGUUCGCAUAUUUUAUUUAGUAUAGGCCAAGUAAUAGCUUAGCUUACAUAUAAUACAAAUCAAAAUCUCACAAUACACAGUUUGGAAAAUUAAUAUAGUUUACCAUAUUAAUACAUAUUACAAAAUUAACACAGUUCACCAUAAUGAUAUAAUUCACCAAGUUAACUUGGUUCACAAUAUACCACAUUACACAAAUAUAAUUGGCUCGCACUAUAGUUGAGCUCGCACCUAGCAUUUCACACUAAUAUAAUUUUGCACUAAUCAGAGCUUGCAUUAUCAUAGAGCUCAUAAUUCACAUAUUGGUUCGUGCAUGCAUAUAUGUACAUUAUCAAUAAAAUUCACAUGUUAUAAGAGUUUACGUUAUAUUUUUUAUUAGAUCACAGGCAUUACAAAACCCAUAUACGUAUAUCUUAUAUAAAACAUGACCCAUAUAUGCUUAUAUAUGAUAUAUAUAAUCAAGACCCAAGCAUAUAUAUUAUAUAUAUAACAUAACCCAUGCAUAUAUAUAUUACAUAUAUACACAUAUCUUUUUAGUACAUUAGCUCGCAUUUGAUAUUAUGCUCACAUACACACACACAAUAAUUAAAUGCACAAUUCGCACACACUUAUCACGUUAAGUACAUGGUUUACAGCUACGACCUACCUAUUUUAUUCCUAUAACUACAUGUACGUUUCAAAUUCAUGCAUUUGGCUCAUUAAAAUCGCACAACAUGCAUACCCUACACUCAAACAAAAUUGCAAUGGCUUGCUCCAGGAGAAAUCAAGGUUCGCAUAUUAAUUAAGUAGGGUUUUUGCAUAUGUUACAUUAGCCUGCAUACUGGAGUUUAAAUGCAGUAUGUUAGGCUACUCACCUUAUUAACUAUUGCUUCAACUACCAUGCUCAAGUAAGUUUUAAUUUGCCUAUAUCCAUGCUUGUAGAGGCUCCCAAAUGAAUUGGUACUUUUCAUACACAUCAAACACAUUACCAAGACAUUACUAAUAGAAAAAAAUAACAUUAAAUCAUUCAAAAAUCGUAGAUAAAAGCCUCCUAACCUCUAUAUUGAAAACUUAACUAGUUUUGCAAAAAUAGGCGUUUAACCACUCAAAUCUCACUUCUAAGCUUAGAUUUCAACUUCAUGCAUCCUAAAUAUAAUCUAAUUACAAAUCCAAAGCAUUCCAAAAAAUGCUUUAAUUCCUUACGAAUUUGUUCAAUUAAGAUCAAAUACCUUCUAAUUAGAUCAAAAUGAGUUAUAAUUGACUUAAAAACCAAAGCAUAUCCAAGAAACACGAGAUCCACCAUUUUCAAGCCAAAAAUUAACUCAUUUUGCUGAAAUAUGAGGUUUCCUAACCGAUUUUUGUUCCUAAACCUUUAAUUUUAUCCAAGUAUUACAAAUAUAAACCUUUAAUUUUAUCUAAUCUCAUGAAUUUAAAAUUUCCAAAAAAUUAAGCUUGUAUGAACACACAAAAGAGGGAACUCAAAAUUCAUUAAAAUUGGAUACGGAUCUAUCAAAUUGAGUUCAAAUGUCUUCUAUUUAGUUCAAAAUAGAUUAGAAAUCAAUAAAAAAUACUAGGUUUACUCAUUAUUUUGGAUUUCACAAUUAUUGAACCAAAAUUUGAUUAAAAAGCUUUAAAUCUUAAAAACACUCAACACACUUGAUUAAAUUGCGAAUUAGAAAAACAAAAACCUUAAUCUAGUCAUAAUAAGUCAAGACAUUACCUCAAUUUGAAGAAGACAACAAGUUGUGGAGUUAAUUCAAAGCUGAACGUGAGAAGAAUAACGUCAAAAUUGACGAGGAUUUACUUAUUUUUCUUUAAAAUUGGAAGGUGUUGAGGUGUUUGGAUAGCUCAAUUUAAUUAAGGGUUGAAUUUGAAUUAUAAAAGCAAACAUUAAUCAAUUUGAUUGUUAACAGAUGCUAGUGUGGUUGGUAAGAGCAAUGAAAAGAUAACACAUGACAUACUAUGAGGAUAAGUAUGUUAACAAGGCAAGCCAAAUGAGUAUAUAUUUAAAAAAAAAAAUCCUAAAAUGAAAUUGAACACCCUUAGGAAGACUUGGACUUAUCUAGAAAGUUUUUUUAAUUGAAUAUACAUAUAUAAAGUAUGUUGAAAUAUAAAAUUCUAAUAUUUUGUUUCAUACAAUACCUUCAGUUUCCUUCUAGAAAAGGAAUAACACCAAAUAGACGGUCUAUUAUGUAUUGUUUUGUUCAUAUUUGUAUUCACACAAAGAAUUCUGAUUUUAUGGAUUCGAUUUUGUGAAAAUUGUAAUGAAGUUAAUUAAAAUAAGGGUUACCAAAUCAUUAUUUUUCAAACAAGAAAUUGGAUCGAGGUUUAUAUAUUGAAUUGUUUUUGACGUUCUAGAGCAGUGAAUUUGAAUUAUUAUUUCUCAAUAUGAUUUUAAAUGAAGUAAAUUAUUAAUACUAAAUAUGGAUAGAAUUAUAGGACUAGUCGAUGCUUCAUGUUCAGCAUCCUGGAUCAGCCAACUUACUACUUUUCAUCAAUUCCUAUAACAGUUAAUACUUAUAUGAGCAUUUUCCUUUCUAUAUAUAUAUAUAUAUAUAAAUAAAGUCAUAAAUUGGAAAUUUCCUUAGACAUAUCUGGGAUGCUCUUUUUGACUAAUAACAAUAUAUAUAUAUAUAUAAAUCCAAUCAAAAAUUGAAAUAAUCAAGUUCUUAAUCUUCAAGUUCAGUCUACAAAUAAUAUACCAGUUUUCUAGCUUCCCACACAUCAAAACACUCACUCACUCAUCCAUUUCUUCUUCUCUUCUUUCAGCUCAAAGAAAAGACUUGAAAUAGUUUUAGAAUUAUGGGUGUUGUAACUUAUGAAUUUGAGGUAACCUCCCCAGUCGCCCCGACCAGGCUUUUCAAAGCCUUUGUUCUUGAAGGUGCCAAGGUUUACCCCAAGGCUGCCCCUCAUGCAAUUAAGAGUGUUGAGCUCGAAGGUGAUGGUAAGCCAGGAAGUAUUGUAAAGAUCAAUUUUGUUGAAGGUUAGUUACUUCUUUAAUUUUCAUUUUUUUUUUUGUAUGUGCUUGAUACGAGUAUGUCGGAUAACAAGUAUUUUAUUUCCUUAGGUCUUCCAUUCCAAUAUAUGAAGCACAUGAUUGGAGGACAUGAUGAAAGCAAUUUGUCAUACAGUUACAGUUUGAUCGAAGGUGGACCUCUCGGGGACAAGCUUGAGAAAAUUAGCUAUGAGAACCAAUUUGUGGCUGAUGCAAGUGGAGGAAGUGUUUGCAAGAGCUCGAUCAAAUUUUACACCAUUGGCGACUAUGUAAUCACUGAAGAUGAAAUCAAGGCUCUCAUUCAAAGGAGUGAGGUAGUUUACAAGGCUAUUGAAGCUUACCUCUUGGCUAACACUGAUGCUUGCAACUAAGAUAUUAAUUUGUUUUCCCAUUGUUAUAUUAAUAAGACUGGUGGUCUUCAGGAUUUGAUCAUCUUUAUUUUUAUUAUACUCAAAGAGUUUGAGUUGUAUUAUGUUUGAUAUAUAUAAUGAAAUAAAAUAAACAUACUAAGCUUACAAAAAUAAUUGGGUUUUACCUCAUUUAUAUUUCGCAAAAACUACAAAUUUUCUUUCAUAUAUUCUUUGUGUUUGCAAAUUCUCAAUCUCAACAAAGUUUGUUUUUAGAUAAUUGAAUUUUUAUUUUAUGUUCAAAAGAAAGCAUAAAAACUGCUACAGUGUAAUCAUGGUGUAGCCAUAUGUUUUCAAUUUUGACGUAUACCCCACAAUCUACAAAUAGAAUUAAUUAUGUCACUAUGUAUAAUAUUUACAUUACAAGUCGUGAAAAUCAUUAGUUAACUGGUUUGAUCGUUAGUAAUGUUAAUGUGGUUGAUGGCAGCAUAAGUAGAUGACACCAGACAUGAUGUGGGAGGAAUGAUAAUUUGGCAUGAUGUAUACUACACCAGACAUCUGGAAUGCACGUGGAGAAAAGGUUGUCUAGAUAAUUCUUCAACGAUUGGAAUUAAAGAUAUCAAUUAAAUAAACUAUUAAGUUCCCUAAUUAAAUAUUAUAUUAUGAAUUUGUAACAUAAUAAACUUAUAAAUUAAAUAUUUGAAUUUAAUAAAUCAUGAUAAAUUAAUUAAUUUAAUUGGAUAACUCAUAUUGAUAAAUUGAACUUGUUAGAUUUAUGAACAUAAUAAGUCAUGUGAAAGAGUGUAAAAUAGAAGAAAGCAAUAAUUUACAAACUUAUCUUUUAAUUCUGUUGGUUUGAUUCCUAGUUUCUUUUUUUUAACAUAAUUCUUACUUUCUUAAUUUGAUGAUGGAAAUUCAUGAUAUGAAUCUAUGCUAGGUUUAUAACAAUUAUCUCCCUAUAACAACAUCCUAUUAUAGGUGAAUAACAACUAUCUCUCUAUAGUAGGCAAAACCUUGACAAACAAAUUGGGGCUAUUAUAGGCAAGGUUAACUCAUGAUAAUAAUAAAAUUAGAAAAAAAAUUUUAAAUUCUAUUUUGCAUUAUAGUUACCUUGUGUAAAAAUUGAUAACCAUGCCUCCAAGAAUGAAAAAAUGAGCUAAGUCUCUACCCGAACCACUUCCAUCAUCGGAGUAUGUUCUUGAUAAAUUUAAGUUGAAAGAGGCUGAAGCCUUUUUGUCAAACAUUCAAGGACGAACCUUUAUCCUUGAAAGGGGCUUUGACCCAUCGGCUUCAGAUUGCGCGGAUGUUUGGGAUUUAUUCCAUUUUCAUCGUUGGAUGAACCUUGCCACGGUGCCAUGCCAGUUGUAAUUCUAGUUGUUUUUUUUUUAUUUCUAUUCCAAUUUAAAAUUUUCUGAAAAGAACAAAGUGUAUGUGAGGGACAAAAAGGUCGAUAUAUCCCCUAGAGCCAUUAACGAAUAUUAUGGAGUCCCUUAUUAUGAAACUGAUUAUUUACAGACCAUGGAUCUGAAUAAUUUUGAAAAUGUUGAUUUGGAUGUCGUUUUAUUGUUUUUAAAUAAGGGGAGGGGAAUGGAAAAGAGAGGGGUAAAAUAAUUACCCCCUAUCUUUUAAUCAAGCUAUAAUGUUUCCCAUAGCUAAAAAGUGGAUGAAAUUUAUUUGCACUCGCAUAUCACCAUUACUCAACAUUAAUACUGUUAAUGUUUUUUGAGCAGCCUUAUUAUAUUGUAUCUUGCAACGAAAACGACUUAGCCUCAGGAAGUGGGUUAAUAAAGAGAUCCAAAAAUAUAUAUCCGGCAUCAAGGUUCGAAUGUAUUUUCCUUACUUGAUUAUCGAUUUGUGCCACCGUGUUGGAAUGGUGAUUUGGGACAAUAGAGAAAUUUUAUAAUCCUACCACAAGUAUUAUUGGAGACAACCCCAUGCACCAAUUUCGGGAGCUUCAGAGAAAACAAAUACAAUAAUGGAAUCAGCGGCGCAAACAAAAAUUGGAGAUGCCUCUAGCUCCCCCAAAGAAAUCCACGAAGGCAAAGGUGAAAAAGACUUAUGAGCCUACAAAAUGAGAGCGUAGGCUAGGCCGGCGUACGAUAUAAAAUAUUACUCCUACAGUCCAUGAAAAUAGGGAUGGACAUGUUUGUGAAGAGCCUAGGGGAAAAAGUAUAGAAUGGCCCGAAUACUUGAGUGACUCAUCUGAGACUAAGAAAGACGCGACCGAGCAAUAAGAGGAGGACGAGAAAGAAAUAGAUGACGAGGCCACGGAGGAUGACUUUUUCUUCUCCUAUCAGGGAAAAUUUGAGAGUGACUUUGUAUCCAUAAAGCAACGAAGAAGGGCACCCGUCUUUCGAGAUCCUACAGAUUUAUCUUAGAUGCAACCGUCAAAACCCACUGUGAGUGGAAAAGGGAAACGAAUCGCUGGACCGACUGAGGAGUCCAAGGAUGACUCGGGUUAGUUACAUGUCUUUGCAUUUUAUUUAUUUUUAGUGCGGCAUGUAAAUUAUUAAACACUUUUGGAUUUUAUUUUUUAUAUUAUUAUUGUGUGUUUGUUAUUGUUUUUUUUCUUUGAUUAUUUUUCUUAUGUGUAGUGAGUUACCCUGACAGACUACACAACAUAUAGAGCUUCAACGAGAGACGAACGCCCAAGCUAGUCUGAUGCUCCAUUCUAGGGAAGUCUGGUAACCUCCUAACCUUUAUUUUGUACACAUUGAGGACAAUGUAUAGUCUGAGUGUGGGGGGGGAUGCACAUAAGUUUUUAUGUGUGUUUAUUUUUGUUUAUUUUACUUUUAUUCAUUUUUCAAACAAAUUUCAAAAAAAUCCCAAAAAUAUUUUCUGUUUUCGAUUUUAAUUUUUCAGAAAUCAAGAUAUUUUUCUUCUUUGUUUUUAGUUUUUGUUAUUGCAUGGUGCUUUGAUUAAUAUUAAGUAAUAAGUUAUUCGUUUUACAUAUCAAAUGCGUAUAUAAUAUUGCCAAACUUGUAAAUUUUGAAUGAUACUAAAUAAUUUCUUGCUCUUAAUUGUACAUUAACUAGUUCACUUAGUUAAUAAGUAUUAGAGAUUUGAGGCAACAACCGAAAUGAAAACGUAUAAAGUGUAUCGUAGGAUGAAUAAAAGAUAUGGAUCCUUGUAGAUAAAUGAUUCAAAUUGCUAACUAUUCGUUUAAAUAGAUGCAUGCUUAAUAGAUGAGUUCUAGGUGACUAAUCCGAGAAAGACCUUAGGCAUUGUUUGUAUAGCCUUGAGCCUAAAGGACCAACCUUAAACAUUACAUUAUCCCUAGCUCCCGAAUUUGAGCUUUACAUUACCCUUCUUAAUGAACCUCUAUGUUUGAAACCUUGAAUUAAAAUUGAGUUUGAAACUCAACCCUUUAUAGUUAUUGAACUUUGUAACACACUAUUGAAUGGACAUCUUACCAUGGACAUCGAGGGUAAGGUAGGAACAUUAUGGAGGUUUCUCACAAAAAUGUACUCGAGUGAUUAGUGAAGAGGGGUCGACUUAGCUAGUAAUUGAUUCUUGCUAGAAAUAGUGCUUAAAAAAAGAAAAAAUUGAAAAAAAAUGAAAGUGAGAAUCAAAAGCAUUGUGAGGGAAAAGAGCAAAAAUAGUAUAAAAAUGCUCAAAAACAAGAAAAAAGAAAGGAGCUUAAAAUAGUCUCAAAAUCUUAGUGCACAAAAAUGAGCUAAUAUCGACUAGUCUCUUCCAUAUUUUUAGAGAAAUAAUGAAGGUGAGAGAAGGAGAAAUAAGACGGUGAGAUGUAAGAAGGGAAUUGGGAACAAUGUCGUGUGUUAUACUAUUCACAAUGCUUGAAUUGUUUUGAGAUGAACUUCCUUUGAAUCCAUUCCAACCUCAGCCUCAAAAUGUUACAAGCCUAAAAGACCUUUGUGACUCGAAUAAGUCACCGACAGAUUAAUUUGUAUAUAGCUUGCACUUGUUAGAAUGAGCAUGAAUAGUUCUUUUUAAAUAUCUAUGAGCGAUCCGUAUAAUCUAUAUUGACGGAUAAGAUUUAUACAUAUUUUCAUUUACAUUGCCUUUACCUCUAUUGACACUUUAACUAUUGAACUAAUAAUGUUUCUAUUAGGAGUAAGUAAAUUAGCUAGAUAUCAUUUUUAAAUUUCAUGUGAAGUAAUUCUUGUGCAAAUUUGUUGUUGUACAACUAUAUAACUUAAUUACCUAAUGUAGUCCAAGGGUCGCCUUUUUGCAUGUUUUGUGUGUUUGCUUGAGGAUAGACAAAUACUUGAGUGUGAGGGUUUUCCAACUUACAUAAGGAGCUUUUUCUUGAGCAAAAUAGAGUUUUAUCACAGUUUUUUGGUAUUUUCAUAUUUUCGGAUAAUAAGUGAAGAUGUCUCAUUUUUAUCUAUUUUUUUACCUAAAUUGGCCGCUAGUGACAUUUGGAGGCGUAACGUGUGUUUGAGUGCUGAGGGACGUGUUAGAGGUAAAAAAUGAAGGAGAACGACACUUAGGGCAAGGUAUCCCAAUAUCCAACCCUUGGGAUCGUGACACCUCCGACAGUAUAGAAGACCAAUGACUACCUUCAAUGGUAUCCUGAUAUCCCUUUAGGUAUCGCGAUAUCCACCUCCCAAGGAAGAUCCCAAGUUUCAACACUACUCAAGAUAUGGCAAUAUCCUUUCCUAGGCAAUGUGAUAUCACCUCCGUCAGAGGGACAGACUUGGACAAAAAGGGCAAUUUUUGUCUACCUAUCCCACAAAUCACACAAGGCCCAUGUAUGGGCCUUUUUUGCACUAAAAAGUCAUCUAAAUACACAUCAAAAUAGCCAAAAAUUUCUGAGGAGGAAAGAGAUACACAUUAGCUUAGUUUAGGUUUAGUUUUCUCCAGGUUUUCUUAAGUUUUUUAUGCACUCUUUCUAGGUUUUUAUUUUUCUCUUCUUCUACCUUAGAUUAGAGUUUAAUUUUUAGCAUUUACUUCUUGUUCUUGUUGUUCCUUAUGCUAGUUAGGUUGGUUAACAUUAUAGCUAUGGUUUAUUUACAUUUCUAGUCCAUGUACUUUACUUUCAUGACUCUCUAAGCUUUAGUUUCAUGUCUUUCAGUUUAUUUUACUUUAAAUUUGUCAAAGCUUGAUCUUUUUAUGUUUCUUGCCUUAUAUUUCUCUGUUAAAUGCUUUUGGUUUCAUGUUAUUUAAGUCUUCUUGCAUAAAAAUCUCAAUUUUUAUAUUUUUCUCAAGCUUUAAUUUCAUGGCUGCCUUAUUUUCUAUUUCUAUGUUUCUUUUCUUCACUUUGAGCAUGUGUAGCUAAACCAUUAAGGAGGUUGGUUGAUAAAGGUGUGGGUAAACUAAACGCUUUGGACAAAUGACUAAAUCGUAACAAAUUGGACUAAAUUGAAUAGAACUAAGAACUUAGGUAGUGACUCCCAUAAGGGAAUAUUAAGAUAAAGUGAGAUCAGAAGGUAAUCUUGUCGCAAAACCGUCUGUUAGUCCUGGAUUAACCGGUAAGGUCGAAAGAUAAGUCAGACCUAAUUCGUCUAAGUCGUUAAAAUUGAGAUCAGAAGAUAAAAUGGAGCCAUUUAGUAAUUUAAGCAAUUCAUGUCCUCGAGUCUGAAAUUUGGUGAACAACAUCGAAUUCAACCAACCUCCAUUGGUUAUUUGCUGGAUAGUCCCUGUACUUUAUAGUUCUUGCAAUUUUGUCCCUAAGGUAGAAUAUUUAAUUUUCUUGCAAAAUAAUUUAUUAUGGAUUGUCGUACCACAAAAUCAUAUUAGUAACCACUUAGACUCUAUUGUGUAUGCUACUUAUUUUUGAAUCGCCUCUUCUUCUGGGUGCGAUCCUUGGAAUACUUCGAUGUCUCAUUGUAACACUAUUAAUACUAAAACUGACUUGUAAGCUUACAAUCAAAUAAGGCUUGUGUUUAAAGGCUAAUUAAUAUGCAGUCAAUAGUCAAACGAGAAAUGUUAUUACCAUAAGCUUGCAUAAAAAUUUGAUCUUCGCCACUACAAAUAUGAGAUGACACAAAGAUCAAAAAGUCUUAAUAAGGGUUGGAAUGGAAGGGUUAAGGGUAUAGAAGGAUAUACAAGGUGAUUAUAGUCAAGAAUUGAAUUGAUGAGAUACCAAACCAAAAGAAAAAAGAUGUUGAAUUGAAAAGAAUUGACAGGAAUAAUAUACAAAAAAUUGAAGUAAGGCUUUAUAAAAAAUAUAAUAGUGAUUAUUUAAGCUCAACAAAUAAGAUAAUAUGGCUAUAACAUGAAAAGUGAUCUCACAAUUAAACAAGGUAGCCCAAAGUUUUUUCAUUUCUUUAUUUUUUAAUUAAAUUAGGAAUAUGAAUGAUCGAACAUGGUUAGGAAACUUACCAAAAUCUAAUCUCGACUAAAGGAAAACAAGAAAAGGGUAAUUCAAAGAUUAAUGGGAUUUUAAGGGUUAAAAUGAGUGGGUGAUAAAUGAAUAAAAAGUGAUUAGGCUCAAAGGGGUUUACUAGUGGGCAAUAAAGUGGGUAAGUUAUUUAAAGGUUAACCCAAUAACAAGUGUCUCUAUCAUCCCAACUUAUCAAAUCAUUAAUGUGUCCUUAACAUGCAUAAGAAAGGCAAGUUCUAGAAUAACUGGUCUUAAUGACACACUCAAAACCAAAAAUAACAUGAGAAUAAAAGGAUGGAUGCUCUAAAGGCUCAAAAGCUCAAAAAAAUAUGGUUUUUAUGUAAAAAUUUUAAAUUUAUAAUUCAACAUAAGAAUUAAGUUCAAGGAGAAAAACUAAAAUGAAUUUUUCUAAAAAACAACUUAUCAUGCUUGACUAUCUCUUGCAUUGAAGUAUAAAUAAAAAAGGCAUAAAAAUCUACUAAUUAUCACAAAAUAGAAUCAAUAAAAACUCUAGAUUUAGAAAAGAUAACUCUCAUGCAAAAAUUAAGAAAAUUUAUUAACAAAACAUUCAAGAAUUCAAGGGCUAAGUUGAAUGAAAGCAUAAAAUCCUCUGAUAAAACUCUAAAUUGACAUACUUUUAUGAGUUAAUUACAUAUAUAUUUUAAGUACGAUCCUACUAAUUUGGGUUGUUUAUGGUUUUUUUUAUCUUGUAGGGACUAAAUUGAAUGAAAAAGGAAAUUUGAGGACAAAAAGUAGGAAUUCAAAGAUAAAAUGGGUCAGCAUGCGAAAUAGAGAAGAAGUGAUGUCGAAAAUACAAAGUGUGGAAAACUUGGGGUAAAAUUUUAAAGAAGAGAUUUGUGAAGAUAAAAAUUUGUUUUGAUUUGAAUUCUAUUUUUUUAAUUUUGGAUUAUUUUUAAGAUUAUUAUGAUAUUUUUUAGAUUUAAUUUUAAUUAUAUCUCUUAAGCAUUAUCGUUUAAAUUUUAAAUAGGAAUCAACUAGGGUUUUUCAUGUACCAUAAAUAGGGACGGAGUGACAUGAAUUGGCCAUUCCAUUUUGUUUUAAAAAUCUCCCUCCCCAUAGCUGAAAUUCCCUGAGGAUCUUAGCCUUAUGUUUCAUUUCCUUUUCAGUAAAAUUAUGUUUAAUUAAACUUAUGUUUUUAUUCCUAAAAAGAAUGAGUAACUAAACUCGUCUAGCCAAAGGUUAUCAAUAUUCCUCAAAAAGAGUUCAUGAGGCUUAGAACCUGCACUUAACCCUUUUCAACGAGUAUUCAUCAUUUCUCUGCAUUACGGGAUUGACACUUUCGUCCAUGUCAUUCCAAAAGUAAUAUUUUCAUUUUGUGCAAAGACGACCGCUUUGUAUGUUUUGAGAAAGUUGCACAGUCAGUUUGCUAACUUAUUGCGUCAGAGGUUGUCGAGCUCAAGAGACAAGAUGGCGUGACAUUUGCCAUUGAGAUAUGAUGAUCUAGUGUAAGACGGUCUCACAAGAGUGACGGUUAGCUAGAGUCAAGUUUCUCUAUAUUACAAGGCUAUAAUCUAAAAUGGAGCUUGUGGUCGUAGGCAUCCUCUUCCACUAUAGCUAGCUUAUUCGGUCAUGAGAGGAACUACCUAAAGGUCUAUGAUUGAACCAAAGGAGGAUCGAGAUAACCGGAGGCUGGAAUCCCUCAAAUAAAAAAAACACUUUUCUAAAAUAUCCUUUUUUCACAAUUACGAUUUCAAUUUAUAUAGUCUCAACCCGUCCAUAAUCUUAAUUCUUUUAUUUUAUUUAUUUAUUUUCCAGGUCAGACAUUUUUCUUACGCACGAUUGUGCCCAAAAUUUCAAGGAACAAGAAGCUGUAGCGAUCCAAUCUUUGAGGAUUUGACUCUACUUCCCUUAUACCAUUCUCUUUGUUAUUUCUUAGGGAUAUGAUAUAUUUGGUGCUUUCAACAACGACACCAAAUUUUGGCCCUCUUGUUAGGGACUGACACUGUACUAACCUUGUUUCAGACUCUGCUAACAAAAUAAACUAUUUUAUUUACUUCCUGGAUCUAUCACAACCUAGGCUGAGCUUUCCCGUUUGUUUCUUAACAGAAUUUUCCCAUCAUCGCGCAUAGCUGAGUUAAGGAUGAAGAUUUUUGGGAUAAGGAAAAAGGAUAUGGAGUCUAUUUACGACUAUUGAGAGUGAUUUAAGAAGUUAUGUGCAAGUUUCCCACAACAUGGGAUAAAAGAACAGUCUCUUCUCCAAUAAUUCUAUGAGGACUUGGAGCCCAUGGAAAUAAAUAUGAUAGAUGCCGCCAGUGGAAGGGCAUUGGUCAACAUGACCCCCAAUAGGCCAGGGACUUGAUAUCCAUGAUGGCUACAAAUACUCAGUAAUUUCGAGCCAAUCCUAAACCCACUAGAAGGGUUCACUAGCUAAGUAGUUCAAUUUUAGAAGAUAAAGUUGAUAGACUUACUAAUAUCUUGGACUCUUUUUUUGCAAUAAAAGCAUGAUUUGCCUAACUAUGCAAAAUUUGUGCAGUAACUAAACAUACAACUUACACAUGCUCUAGUUUGUAUGACAGUGCUAUGGCCCAUUUAGAUGCUGUGGGGAACUUUCAUGGACCACCCCAAAGGCAAUAUGACCCUUACGCUAAUACAUGUAGCCCAGGAUGGAGAGACCAUCCUAACUUGAGUUAUGGGGCCGUGUAACAACCUAAAUUGUAACCCUUUGAAAGCUACAGGGGACACACGGCCGUGUUAGCUGGCCAUGUGUCACACACGACUGAGAGACAUGCCCGGGUCUCUGCCCUUGUUGACGACAAUAGGUCAUUUUACAAGCCAUUUUUUCUCACCCAUAUUGACAUGUACCUACAACCACAAAUGCACAUAUAUACAAGCCAUAAUAAGGUAUCAAAUCCAUGCAAUUUCUAGCCUUAUAUAAAUGGUAUGAUCACAUACAGCCAAUAUGCCCUUAGGCACCUCAAAUGACAAUAUAAAAACAUGUAUAUCUAUGUAUUCAAUAUGGCCAAUUACUCAACUAACUUAUUGGCAUGUUUGCCUUAAUACAACAUGGAACUUACUUACCAAAACAUAUCAAAUGGUACUAAUCAUGCCAUUCAACCAAAGUGCCCUUUCACAACAAUUCCAACAAAUUACAAAACUUAUACAAUAUGCAUAUUAAAACCAUAAUCUCAACUUCCAUAAUUCAAACACAGAACAAAAAAAAAUCAACCAUAUUAAUGCUAUUUAUAUACAUCCCAAAAUAUGCCAACACAAGCCAAAUCAAAUGGCCAUAUUUACAACAAAACAUAUAGGCCAAUAUUAGCAAAAAAAUACCUAUAUAUGUCAUUAUAACCAAAAUUAAACAUCCAAAAUGUACCACAAGAGUCGAUAGGUAGAGUGAUAUAGCUCAAAAAAUCUUCAAACCCAAACGAGCUUCUGAUCCACUAUAAAACACGAAAAUAACUCAUAUCAUUUUGUAUCAGAACAUUGCCCGCUGAACCGUUUAGAAUACCGUUGGAUUCCUGGGAUAGCUCACACAUAGUGUGCUCAUGUAUACUCAUACGAGCUGUCAAUCAGUAUGCUCAUAUGAGCUAAAGAUCGGUAUGCUCUCACGAGCUAUAAAUUGGUAACCCUAAUGACAUAUCAUUUGUAUCCUACGGAUUCCUAAGGUUCAAACGGGGCUUGGUAAUCAUCGUACUUUGUUGGAUAUGCACUUGGAAAUUAUAUAUGACAAAUCAUAACAUCUAUAUCUUUCAAUUAAAAACAUAUAAACACAAUUUAAUUACACAAACUUACCUCGACGAGUAUACGUAAGUACAAAGGCGAUUAAUUCGAGACUCUCUUUGCCCCGAUCUAACUCCGUACGAGGUCUAAUUUGAUCUAUACGGAUAAAUUUAAUUAAAUUUAACAAAUAAUUCAUUCAAUUUAAUGUACAACAUAUUUUUGGUAAAAUUACCAUUUUGCCCCUAUACUUUUAAAUUCUUCACAAUUUAGUCUUUAGCUCAUAAAAUGAAAAUUUAUGCAAUUCAUGCUUAACCCGCCAUAGCUGAAUUUCAUAUAGGUCCCUAGAAAUCUCAAUAAUUCAUUUAUUUCACAAAUUUAUGAUGUAUAACUUCUAUUUUUCAAUUUAAUCCCUAUUUGACAUUUUUACCAAAAAUCACUUAACAAAAGUUGUUUAUCUAUGAUCAACUAUCUAUUUUCUACCAUAAAACAACAAAAUAAACCAAUAAUCAUUCAUGGAAAAACUCAAAUCCUUAAACAUCUUUAAAAAUUAGUCCCCGGGCUAACUAGAUUAAGUUAUAACGAUCCCGAAAACAUAAAAAUAAUUAAAAACGGGAUGAAAAUUCACUUACAUGCUAAGACUUUAUGCAACCAAAUGGAAGAACCCUAAAUAGCUUGUUUUCUAAUUCAAUUUUCGGUGAAGAACACAUUGGAGAAUAUGAGAAAAUUUUUAGUUUUUAUUUAAUUUAGCAUUAAUAACCUAUUUACUAAUUUAUCCUUAAAAAUAUUCAUAAUUUCACUUAUACCAAGCCAUUACAUUCCGCUAACUCUAAUAGUGGUCUAAUUACCAUAUAAGGACUUUUAAUUUAAGGUUCUAUAGCUAUUUAAUAAUUUUAGCUACUAAAACUAAACUUUUGCACUUUACGCGAUUUAGUCUUUUUUAUCAAAUUGAACAUGUAAACGGUAAAAUUUCUUGUCAAAAUUUUUAUACGGUAGUACUAUCAUACUAUAGGAAAAAUAAUAAUAAAAUAAAUUUUUUGACCUAAGAUUUGUGGUCUCAAAACCACUAUUCUGAUUUAACUGAAAGCAGGCUGUUACAGAGAGAAUGCCUGGAAGGAAAUCGCUCAACAAUCUAUUCGCCAGUUGAUAGUGUUGGGAAUAGGAAAAGUCCACUACAGCGAUUUAAAAGAAAUGUCGCAAAUGAGAAGGGAGUUGUUGUAUUAUUAUUUAAUUGAAUCCUGACAAGGCAAGGUACAUUUCGUGUAAUGAUGAAACUCACUAAGUUCAUCUGAACUUACAAUGGUUGUUUUGUGAUUGCAGGAUAUAUAGAAUAAGGGACUCGAGGAGGGACCAAGCCAGAUCAUUUGAAAUCGAAGAUUGAUUUAAGUAGAGUCAAGCACAUAGGAAGGGAGCACCCUUAGGAACUCUGCCAUGGGAGUGGAUAUAUUGUAAUUAUGUAGUUCCUUAAGAGUAGAGUAGAGACAAGGAACUUUUUUUAGAAAUCUAUGUCUCUGAUGUAAAGAUAACUUAUUAAUAGGUAAUAAAUUUUAAAAGAUACAGGGGACACACGGCUAUGUCAGCUAGCCAUGUGUCAGACACGACUGAGACACACCGCUGGGUCACUGCCCUUGUGGACGAUAAUAGGUCGUUUUACAAGCCAUUUUUUCUCACCCAUAUUGACAGGUACCUACAACCACAAAUGCACAUAUACAGAAGCAAUAAUAAGACAUCAAAUCCAUGCAUUUUCUAGCCUUAUAUAAAUGGUAUGAUCACAUACAACCAAUAUACCCUUAGGCACCUCAAAUGACAAUAUGAAAACAUGUAUAACUAUGUAUUCAAUAUGGCCAAUUACUCAACUAACUUAUAGGCAUGUUUGCCUUAAUACAACAUGGAGCUUACUUACCAAAACAUACCAAAUGGUACUAAUCAUGCCAUCCAACCAAAGUGCCAUUUCACAACAAUUACAAAACUUAUACAAUAUGCAUAUUAAAACUAUAAUCUCAACUUCUAUAAUUCAAACACAAAACAAACAACACAUCAACCAUAUUAAGUUAAUGCUACUUAUAUACAUCCCAAAAUAUGCCAACACAAACUAAAUCAAAUUGCCUUAUUUACAACAAAACAUAUUAGCCAACAUUAGCCAAAAAUACCUAUACAUGCCAUUAUAACCAAAAUUAAACAUCCGAAAUGUACCAAAAGAGUGGAUAGUGUGAUAUAGCUCCGACAAUCUUUCAACCAGAACGAGCUUCUGAUUCAUUAUAAAACAUGGAAAUAACACAGAGUAAGCAUUUAAGCUUAGUAAGUUCAUAUAACUUAGAAUUUAACUUACCAUUUAAUCAAGUAAUAGGUAAGUAUAAGGCAUAUCCCAACACAUUUUGGCCAAAUGCCUAAGCACGUAUACACCAACCAUAUUAGCCAUGUAAAUACAUAUAUGAACCAAUAAUCAUGGAUAAGCUCAACAAUUAAUCAAAUUCCAUAUACAUGUAUCAUCCGUUUCAUAUAUCUAUAUAUCAUGUAACAUUAUUUCCAUGUACUUCAUGUGUAUACUUGUAAUAGUUCGUAUCAAACUCAUAUCAUUUCGUAUCAGAUUAUUGCCCGUUGAACCGUUUAGAAUACCGUUGGAUACCUGGGAUAGCUCACAUAUAGUGUGCUAGCUCAUAUAACUAUAAUCCGUCUAUUCGUGUACAUGUAUAAUCAUAUGAGCUGUGAUUCGGUAUGCUCAUCUGAGUUGAAGUCGGUAUGCUCUCACGAGCUAUAAAUCAGUAACCCUAAUGACAUGUCAUUUGUAUCCUACAGAUUCCUAAGGUUCAAACGGGGAUCUGUAAUCAGCGUAUGUCGUUGGAUAUGCACCCGGUAAUUAUAUAUGACAAAUCAUAACAUCUAUAUAUUUCAAUUAAGAACAGAUAAACACAAUUUAAUUACACGAACUUACCUCGACAAGUAUACGUAGGUAUAUAGGCGAUUAAUCUGAGACUUUCUCUUUGCCCCGUUCUAACUCCGUACGAGGUCUAAUUGAAUAUAUACAAAUUAAUUUAAUUCAAUUUAACAUAUAAUUCAUUCAAUUAAAUCCAAAACAUAUUUUUGAAAAAAUUAUCAUUUUACCCCUAUACUUUUAAAUUCUUUGCAAUUUAGUCUCUAGCUCAUAAAAUGAAAAUUUAUGCAAUUCAUGCUUAACCCACUAUAGCCGAAUUUCAUAUAGGUACCUAGAAAAGUCAAUAUUUCAUUUAUUUCAUAAAUUUACCAUGUAUAAUUUCUAUUUUUCAAUUUAAUCCCUAUUUGACAUUUUUACCAAAAAUCACUUAACAAAAGUUGUUUAUCUAUCAACAACUAUCCAUUUUCUACCAUAAAACAACAAAAUAAACUAAUAUUCAUUCAUGGAAAAACUCAAAUCCUUAAACAAUUUUACAAAUUAGCCCCCGGGAUAGCUAGAUUAAGCUACAACGAUCCAGAAAACAUAAAAAUAAUUAAAAACGGGAUGAAAAUUCACUUACAUGCUAAGAUUUUAUGCAACCGAAUGGAAGAACCCUAAAUAUCUUGUUUUCUACUUCAAUUUUCGGUGAAGAACACAUUGGACAAGAUGAGAAAAUUUUUGGUUUUAUUUAAUUUAACAUUAACAACAUAUUUACUAAUUUAACCUUAAAAUUAUUCAUAAUUUCACUUAUACCAAGCCAUUACAUUCAACUAACUCCAAUAGUGGUCUAAUUACCAUAUAAGGACUUUUACUAUAAGGUUCUAUAGUUAUUUAAUACCUUUAGCUACUAAAACUAAACUUUUGCACUUUACGUGAUUUAGUCCUUUUUAUCAAAUUGAGCAUGUAAACAGUAAAAUUUCUUAACGAAAUUUUUAUACGGUAAUAAUAUCAUACUAUAGGAAAUAUAAUAAUAAUAAAAUAAAUUUUUUGACCUUAGAUUUGUGGUCCCGAAACUACUGUUCUGAUUUAAUUGAAAACAGGCUGUUACAAAGAGAAUGGCCGGAAGAGAAUCGCACAACGAGCUAUCUGGUAGUUGAUAGUGUCGGGAAUAGGAAAAAUCUACUACGGCGAUUUAAGGGAAAUGUCACAAAUGAGCAGGGAGUUGUUGUAUUAUUAUUUAAUUGAAUCCCGACAAGGUAGGGUACGUUUCGUGUAAUGAUGAAACUUACUAAGUUCAUCUGAACUUACAAUGGUUGUUUUGUGAUUGCAGGAUAUAUAGAAUAUGGAACUUGAGGAGGACCAAGCCAGAUCAUUUGGAAUCGAAGAUUGAUUUAAGUAGAGUCAAGCACAUAGGAAGGGAGCACCCUUAGGAACUUUUCCGUGGGGGUGGAUAUAUUGUAAUUAUGUAGUUCCUUAAGAGUGGAGUAGAGACAAGGAACUUUAUUUAGAAAUUUAUGUCUCUGAUGUAAGUUAAUUUAUUAAUAGGUAAUAAAGUUUGAUUUCGAAAUAGUAAGAUCAUAGUAUAAACAUUAAUCCAGUUCUGUUAUGAUGCCCGCACCCGGAUCUAGUGAUUGGGUCGGGUGAAGGUGUUAUAAUACAACUCAAAUUCUUUGACUGUAAUGAAAAUGACUUAAGAAGACCAAAGCUCAACCAGCACCACCACUCUUAUUGAAACAAUCAUAUGACAGUUUAGGCUUUAAGAUGAAAAAGAAAAUAUCAGAAGCACAACAUUAAAAUCUGACCCGUCUUUAAAGGAAGCAUGAAAAUUCAAAGCAACCUAUAUCUUAGUUGCAAGCAUCGGGGUUAGCUAAGAGGUAAGCUUCAAUAGCUUUGUAAACUCCCUCACUCCCUUUAAUGAGAGCCUUGAUUUCAUCUUCAGUGAUUACAUAGUCACCAAAAGUGUAAAAUUUCAUCGAGCUCUUGCAAACACUUCCUCCACCUACAGCUGCCUCAAACUUAUUCUCGUAGUUGAUUUUCUCAAGCUUGUCCCCCAAAGGCCCACCUUCAAUCAAACUGUAACUGUAUGAAAAUUUGUUUUCAUCAUGUCCUCCAAUCUGGUGCUUCAUAUAUUGGAAUGGAAGGCCUAAACAAAUAAAAUACUUGUUAUCCGACAUACUCGUGUUGACCGCAUUGGAAAGAGGCCAUAGAAAGUGAAAAUAAUGAAAGAACUAACCUUCAACAAAGUUGAUCUUUACGAUACUUCCAGGGCCAGGAUUAGCUUCAACCUCAAUACUCUUGAUUGCAUGAGGGGCAGCUAUGGGCCAGACCUUGUCAGCUUCAAGAACGAAGGCCUUGAAAAGCCUGGCGGGAGCGACAGGGGAGGUAGAGUCAUAGUUAUAAGUGACAACACCCAUGAUUCUAAUACUACUUGGGACUUUGAGUUGAAAGAAAAGAAUAAAUGGAUGAUUGAGUGAGAGUUUGAGGCGUGAGAUGAUUGAGAACCAAGAUGCUAUUUAUAGACUG
rnacentral:lncRNA from 1 species